AGUGAACGCUGGCGGCAGGCCUAACACAUGCAAGUCGAGCGGCAGCGCGGGUGUAGCAAUACAUCUGGCGGCGAGCGGCGGACGGGUGAGGAAUACAUCGGAAUUUACCCAAUCGUGGGGGAUAACGUAGGGAAACUUACGCUAAUACCGCAUGAACUGGAGACAGCAAAGCGGCGGACCGAAAGGCGUCGCGCGGUUGGAUGAGCCGAUGUCGGAUUAGCAGUUGGCGGGGUAAAGGGCCCACCAAGGCGACGAUCCGUAGCUGGUCUGAGAGGACGAUCAGCCACACUGGAACUGAGACACGGUCCAGACUCCUACGGGAGGCAGCAGUGGGGAAUAUUGGGACAAUGGGCGCAAGCCUGAUCCAGCCAUGCCGCGUGUGUGAAGAAGGCC
rnacentral:rRNA from 1 species